GUCUGAAGGCUUCUUUUCAGAGCAUAUAAAUCUUUCACUUUUUACUAAAGAUUUCUGUGGAGAGGAACAUUUAUAAGUUUCUGUCCAAUUUUUCAAGGCUUUACUUUGGUGAGAAAAU
rfam:Chelonia mydas contig197109, whole genome shotgun sequence.